rnacentral:rRNA from 1 species
CUGGUAGUCCACGCCGUAAACGAUGAGUGCUAAGUGUUAGAGGGUUUCCGCCCUUUAGUGCUGAAGUUAACGCAUUAAGCACUCCGCCUGGGGAGUACGGCCGCAAGGCUGAAACUCAAAGGAAUUGACGGGGGCCCGCACAAGCGGUGGAGCAUGUGGUUUAAUUCGAAGCAACGCGAAGAACCUUACCAGGUCUUGACAUCCUCUGAAAACCCUAGAGAUAGGGCUUCUCCUUCGGGAGCAGAGUGACAGGUGGUGCAUGGUUGUCGUCAGCUCGUGUCGUGAGAUGUUGGGUUAAGUCCCGCAACGAGCGCAACCCUUGAUCUUAGUUGCCAUCAUUAAGUUGGGCACUCUAAGGUGACUGCCGGUGACAAACCGGAGGAAGGUGGGGAUGACGUCAAAUCAUCAUGCCCCUUAUGACCUGGGCUACACACGUGCUACAAUGGACGGUACAAAGAGCUGCAAGACCGCGAGGUGGAGCUAAUCUCAUAAAACCGUUCUCAGUUCGGAUUGUAGGCUGCAACUCGCCUACAUGAAGCUGGAAUCGCUAGUAAUCGCGGAUCAGCAUGCCCGCGGUUGAAUACGUUCCCGGGCCUUGUACACAACCGGCCCGUCACACCCACGGAGAGUUUUGUAACCACCCGAAGUCCGGUG